CAGGUGUGGUGGCAGGCGUCUGUAUUCCCCGGUACUCAGGAAGCUGAAGCAAGAGAAUUGCUUGAACCCAGGAGGCAGAGGUUGCACUGAGCCAAGAUCACACCAUUGCACUCCAGCCUGGGCAACAGAGUGAGACUCAGUCUCAGUAACAAAAUCUAGGCUGGGCGUGGUAGCUCACGCCUGUAAUCCCAGCACUUUGGGNNNNNNNNNNNNNNNNNNNNCAACAUGGUGAAACCCCGUCUCUACUAAAAAUGCAAAAAAUUAGCUGGGUGUGGUGGCAUGCGCCUGUAGUCCCAGCUACUAGGGAGGCUGAGGCAGGAGCAUCACUUGAACCCGGGAGGUGGAGGUUGCAGUGAGCCGAGAUCACACCACUGUACUCCAGCCUGGCUACAGAGCGAGACUCCGUCUCAAAAAAGAAAAAAAAAAAAGAAAAUCUAUUGACAAGAUUGACAAGAGUUCAUUUUAAAGAUGAUUCUCCACACUUGGAGCAUGGGAUCUUGCCUGUCAGCAAUUUUGAUCAGUCUCCAGAUUAGUAACUGCGACUUGCCACCCUGGUUGAUGGGCUGGCAGGAAGGAGUGUGUCAUAUCAGAGAUUGCCACAGACACCCAGGGCAAUGUGAUUUGUCACUUAACGAGGGAGGCAGAUCAAGAGCAUCUCAUCCUCCGGCUGCUGAGUCAUCCUGCUCUGGCAGUUAUUUAAACAGAAGCCUCCAGGAGACAUACAAUCAACACUCCACUCAGACAAUGCCCAGACCUCCAGAAACCAUGUGUCAAGCUCGGAUUGCCUUAGACAGAAGCUCACCCAGCUGGAACUCUUAUGGGACCUUGGCACCAGAGACCACAAAUUCCUCUUUGAAGUUUUCUAACAGCAACAAUGGUAUUUCUGACUUGGCUUUCUUGUAUUUCUCUCACGUUAACAAAAUUGGUUCAGCAUCUACCAUGGGCUACAUGCUGAGCUACAGGUAA
rnacentral:lncRNA from 1 species